CAUUGGCCCGCCUGGGAGUCUUCCAGUGGGGUCGGCCCCAUGAACUCAGAGGGCAGAAGGCAGCUCUAAAGAGAGGGCUCGCGAACGAAACAACACCCGGUGAAAUGACCCAGGCUGGUAACAUGGUGAUCCAGGGACCCAAUUUCUUUCCAGCUGUACUAUAGAAUUAUUUUGAAGCAAUUCCCAACCACCGUAUUACUUCACUGCAUAAUUAUUAUUGAACAGUUCAGAAAAUGGACUCUGGAAACAAACUGCCUAGAUUCGACCCAGACAAAGUAGCUGUGUGAUCUCAGGAUGAGAAAAACUGAGCAAAGGACAGUGACCUGUCCAGGGUCAUGCAGCAAGCUGCUGGACUGAGCCUGCAUUCUAUCCAACUCCUCUGGAGUGCUUGAUUGUAAUCACUCUCCUUUACUAUUGUCUAAACUAGGCAGACAGAAUUCAUAUUCCCAUUCUACAGACAGGAAGCCUGUAAAAGUUCUUCAGAGAGGUCAAGCAAAUUGCCCAAAGUAGCCCUGGGAGUCCCUAGAAAACACACCUGCAGAUUUCUACCCUUCCAACCGCUUCAAGCCCAGCCCCAUCCCCGAGCAAGAAUUACUUUCUGCUCCCCGCCUCGCGCCCCCCCCCCCCCCCGCGCGCUGGCUGGUCUCCUUGAUGUCCCUGAUGACCCUCUAGUAAAGACUUCCACCCUCUCUCACAACCCCCACCCCGUGCUGGCCCUGGCCUGCC